ACGAACGCUGGCGGCGUGCUUAACACCUGCCAGUCGAACGGAAAGGCCCUUCGGGGUACUCGAGUGGCGAACGGGUGAGUAACACGUGGGUGAUCUGCCCUGCACUUUGGGAUAAGCCUGGGAAACUGGGUCUAAUACCGAAUAUGAUCAUCGGCUUCAUGGUCGGUGGUGGAAAGCUUUUGCGGUGUGGGAUGGGCCCGCGGCCUAUCAGCUUGUUGGUGGGGUAAUGGCCUACCAAGGCGACGACGGGUAGCCGGCCUGAGAGGGUGACCGGCCACACUGGGACUGAGAUACGGCCCAGACUCCUACGGGAGGCAGCAGUGGGGAAUAUUGCACAAUGUGCGCAAGCCUGAUGCAGCGACGCCGCGUGAGGGAUGACGGUCUUCGGGUUGUAAACCUCUUUCAGCACAGACGAAGCGCAAGUGACGGUAUGUGCAGAAGAAGGACCGGCCAACUACGUG
rnacentral:rRNA from 1 species